rnacentral:rRNA from 1 species
UGCCCAGACUCCUACGGGAGGCAGCAGUGGGGGAUAUUGCACAAUGGGGGGAACCCUGAUGCAGCGACGCCGCGUGGGUGAAGGAGUGCUUCGGCAUGUAAAGCCCUAUCGGCAGGGAAGAAGCAAGACGGUACCUGACUAAGAAGCCCCGGCUAACUACGUGCCAGCAGCCGCGGUAAUACGUAGGUGGCAAGCGUUGUCCGGAUUUACUGGGUGUAAAGGGAGCGUAGACGGCGCUGCAAGUCCGGAGUGAAAGCCCAUGGCUUAACCAUGGUACUGCUCUGGAAACUGUGGAGCUUGAGUGCGGGAGGGGCAGGCGGAAUUCCUAGUGUAGCGGUGAAAUGCGUAGAUAUUAGGAGGAACACCAGUGGCGAAGGCGGCCUGCUGGGCUUUUACUGACGCUGAGGCUCGAAAGUGUGGGGAGCAAACAGGAUUAGAUACCCUGGUACG